ensembl:lncRNA
GGAAAGGAUACAAGAAAGGAGGGACGAGGGGGGAUUAAAGAAAUACAAGCAAAGGAAGAGAGGAGACAGAGGGGGACGGCGGCCGUCCAAGAAAAAUGCAAAUGUGAGGAUAACAAGGAGAUGAUGAUGGAUGUGAAGUGGGCGGAGAAAGAGGUGGGGGACAAGACCAAAAGGCUCUUUAGGAUCUCCAGGAUCUUGAGCUGCAUAUGAUAAUGACAUCAGGCUGCAUAAACUGUGUUAUGCCAGCUUCGACUUUUGUGCCACGGAGGACGGAUCACAUGCGACGGCAGUGGACGUACCCCCAUUCUACCCUGCUGCUCCCC